AGGCAAGGAGAGAGAGAAAGAAACUGGCGGGGCAGAAGGAGCAAGUCAGACAAAGACCAGGCCCUGUAGAGUUUGGUGGCUGGUUUCAGUAGUCCUGCUUUUGAUGUGGCCCUGUAGCUGGCCCAGACGCCGGACCAGCAGAAAGUCUUCUAGCGGAGGCUCGUUUUGUCGAAGGCCAGGGUUCACUGUGGUAGAGAUGGACCGCGUGACCCAUCGAGGUAGGCCAGCUCGGACUCUGCCAGGCCUGCUGUGCGGCCAUCUGUCUGAGGGUCACAGCCUUUCUCUCUCUCCUACUCUUUUCUCCUCUCUCUGUCUGUCUACCUGACGCUCAAUAAUGAUGUCUUCACCAUGUCUUCCACGUACUCCUGGUUGGACUAAAUAAUCAGGGAUGUGCUGGUGGAAAAUGGGUCAGAAGAGCUUUUUAUAUCCUCACUCUAACAUUGUCGGAUUUAACCUUCAGGUGUUAGCCGUUGCAGCUAAAAUUGUGAAGAAAAUGGAGUUGUUGGUAAAGUAGGCUAAUUAGAAGCAGUGUUGAUUCCUUU